CAAAAAAAGAAAGUCCUGGUCGUUGCGCAGCAUUUAGUGCGAGCCUUAUUUGAGCCACUGAAGCACCACAUGAUUCCCCGAGCUGUCAUUUGAUACGUCGUCCGAACGGGUGAUACGACCAAUAUAAACUGCAUGCUUUGAUUCCUGCUUCGCCAGUUUCUCAGCUGCCACGAACACCGCCAUGAAGAACUUGGCUUUGGUGUUUGCUCUGACGCUGCUGUCGGCAGUCUUGCGCGCAGAGGCGCAGAGAUUCCCGGGAGGGGGAGGAUUUCCACGUCCAGGUCGAGGCCGCAGAUGUGGUAACGUCUUUUGCCGGCCCGGACAGCGCUGCGUCUUUGAAAAAGUUGUGUGCGUAAGGUCACCAUGCCCACCAAUUCCUCAAUGUGUGUGAGAAGGCAGCCAUAGGAGUUUGCUCUGCACUGUUAACCACACACGAUGCUACCUGCAAUGCGACAUUUCCACAUACAAUAAAAAAACGCAACUCCCAUACGAUUAUGGACAACUUU